UGAACGGCCCUUUUCAGGGCCACCCAACUGUACGGCUACCCCGCUAG
rfam:Rhodnius prolixus Rhodnius_prolixus-3.0.3-489.10, whole genome shotgun sequence.